GACGAACGCUGGCGGCGUGCUUAACACAUGCAAGUCGAACGGAAAGGCCCUGCUUUUGUGGGGUGCUCGAGUGGCGAACGGGUGAGUAACACGUGAGUAACCUGCCCUUGACUUUGGGAUAACUUCAGGAAACUGGGGCUAAUACCGGAUAGGAGCUCCUGCUGCAUGGUGGGGGUUGGAAAGUUUCGGCGGUUGGGGAUGGACUCGCGGCUUAUCAGCUUGUUGGUGGGGUAGUGGCUUACCAAGGCUUUGACGGGUAGCCGGCCUGAGAGGGUGACCGGCCACAUUGGGACUGAGAUACGGCCCAGACUCCUACGGGAGGCAGCAGUGGGAAUAUUGCACAAUGGGCGGAAGCCUGAUGCAGCAACGCCGCGUGCGGGAUGACGGCCUUCGGGUUGUAAACCGCUUUCGCCUGUGACGAAGCGUGAGUGACGGUAAUGGGUAAAGAAGCACCGGCUAACUACGUGCCAGCAGCCGCGGUGAUACGUAGGGUGCGAGCGUUGUCCGGAUUUAUUGGGCGUAAAGGGCUCGUAGGUGGUUGAUCGCGUCGGAAGUGUAAUCUUGGGGCUUAACCCUGAGCGUGCUUUCGAUACGGGUUGACUUGAGGAAGGUAGGGGAGAAUGGAAUUCCUGGUGGAGCGGUGGAAUGCGCAGAUAUCAGGAGGAACACCAGUGGCGAAGGCGGUUCUCUGGGCCUUUCCUGACGCUGAGGAGCGAAAGCGUGGGGAGCGAACAGGCUUAGAUACCCUGGUAGUCCACGCUGUAAACGGUGGGUACUAGGUGUGGGGUCCAUUCCACGGGUUCCGUGCCGUAGCUAACGCUUUAAGUACCCCGCCUGGGGAGUACGGCCGCAAGGCUAAAACUCAAAGGAAUUGACGGGGCCCCGCACAAGCGGCGGAGCAUGCGGAUUAAUUCGAUGCAACGCGUAGAACCUUACCUGGGUUUGACAUGGAUCGGAAGCGCUCAGAGAUGGGUGUGCCUCUUUUGGGGUCGGUUCACAGGUGGUGCAUGGCUGUCGUCAGCUCGUGUCGUGAGAUGUUGGGUUAAGUCCCGCAACGAGCGCAACCCUUGUUCACUGUUGCCAGCACGUUAUGGUGGGGACUCAGUGGAGACCGCCGGGGUCAACUCGGAGGAAGGUGGGGAUGACGUCAAGUCAUCAUGCCCCUUAUGUCCAGGGCUUCACGCAUGCUACAAUGGCUGGUACAGAGAGUGGCGAGCCUGUGAGGGUGAGCGAAUCUCGGAAAGCCGGUCUCAGUUCGGAUUGGGGUCUGCAACUCGACCUCAUGAAGUCGGAGUCGCUAGUAAUCGCAGAUCAGCAACGCUGCGGUGAAUACGUUCCCGGGGCU
rnacentral:rRNA from 1 species